GGCGUGAGCCACCAGAUCUGCAUUUUCUUAAUGACUAAUGAUGCUGAGCAUCUUGUGUUUACUGAACAUUUGUUUAUCUUCUUUGGAGAAAUGUUUAUUCAAGCACUUUGCCCAUGUUGUAAUUGGGUUGCCUUUUUAUUGUUUUAUUAUAGGAGUGCUUUGUAUAUUCUGGAUAUCAGAAGACUCUUAGCAGAUAUAUGAUUUACAAAUAUUUUGUUCCAUUCUUUGGGUUGUUUUUUCACGCUCUUGGUAGUGUUCAUGGAUGCACAAAACUUUAAUUUUGAUGAAGUCCAAUUUACCCGUUUUUUUCUUCUGCUGUUUGAGCUUUUGAGUAUCAUAUCUAAGAAACCAUUGCUAAAUUCAAGCCAUGAAAAUUUCCCUUUAUGUUUGUUUUCUUUCAAGAGUUUUACAGACAGUUUUAGCUCUUUUGUAUAGGUCUUUGAUACAAUCGUCUGGGAACUUUUAGGUGAAGUUUAUUUUCUUGUGGAUUAUUUGGUGAAUUUUCGUUAAAACAGGAAUGUUAUCUUUUUGCUUCAUUCUAGUCUCAUCAUUAAAAGACCAACAACAAAAUGUGCAAGGCACAGCCACUGCUACUAGUAGUGCAUGAAGACAACAUGCACUACUUGGCUUAUCCUUAUAAGCCAAGAAAAAUAGUGUUCAAUAUCAUGACACCAAUGCUUUCACUAAUACUUCACACCCUUUCCUAUACUCAUCCUUCCUUCUGUUUUCCCAAAAGCUUCAGUUGGCCACAUACUUAUUACAAGCUUUCACUCCCAUUCCCAAUUCCUUACCACAGGACUGCUCUGGAAACAUCACCAUUCUGACACUCUGAUACAACUGGAUCAGAGAGCUCUUUUGGAACCUGAUCCUUUUCCAGGGAAGCCUGAGGUGACCAUCACAAAGGUUAUAUAGGAAAGUCUCAGUCGGGCCGGGGGGCUUGAUGGUCACUUGGAAGGAUUUCCUUUGGCGUUCAUGGUGGGAAUGAGUGGUCUGAAUUAGAAAAUGUACCGUCAAACCUACAGAAUAUCAUUAAUCAUGACUCUUAUCCUACUUCUAAGUCCCAACCAUUUCCUACUGCAUAAUAUGCUGGCAGGGCAAAUGCUGAAUUCUCAAUGUGCUUUCUGUUUUCUACCACAAAACAAUUAAUCAAGAAAAACUUGACCUCAGGUCCUCCUGGUGGAAUCACCCAGAUAUAACAGCACACUACAAAUACUCUUAAAAUUAAACUUCGGGUUUAAUUCCUUAAAGCUAAGCUUCCCUGAAUAUCACACUUUAAUUUCCUUUGAUGUAGUUUAUAUAAAUGACAGGUUGCUUUUAUAACUAUCUCCCUUAUAAUCCUAUACAUUUCAACUAUUCUACUCUGAUAAGGAAAUGCGCUGAGAGAGAAAUGCAGGAUAGAUGCCCUAUUAGAUACUUCUCUCAUCACUGGAGACAUAGAUGUAGGAUCUUUACACUAAGUCAUCUCUAAGGCAGCUCCAACCAGAAGCCUUGAUGGUCUGGACAGACAUCAGGUCAUUCCCUACUAGGAAGGCCCUUUGUAAAGCUAAGGAGGCGGCAGAGGUGAGGCCAGGGUGAGGGACUUCUAACAACAGUCUCAGGAAGUCCUGGCCUUAAAUUACAGCAUGGACAGUCUUUGGCAGAGGAACCUCUUGAGUCUUUUCAGAACACUGAGAAAUGUUCUGGGGACUCAAGAAGAGUACCACAUUGGUUUGAAUCUCCAGGACCCCAUUUAGAUUGGAGUGAAUCCAUGGGCCACAGUAUCGUAGAAAAUCUGAAUGGGAAAGAACUUUGGAGCUCCUUUCAGCCCAAGUCAAUGACUUUAACAGAUGGAGAUGCCAUGGCUCAGAGAAGUGAAGGGCUCUGUCCAAAAAUCAUUCUGACAGCAAGACACAGUUGAGGCAGAAUCCACUCACAUUUCAACACCAGCUCAUUGAGUUCUCUACUAUCUCAUGCUGUCUUCCUGCAGCUCAAUCCCUAGAGCUGGCUCAUGCUGAGGUAACUUGCAUGCUCACAGUAUGAAAAUAAAAGAAUGCAGAUAGUAUUGGGGUAAAUUUCCUCCUCCUUUUCCACGUGGCACAUUACUCAGCGCUUGAUCAUUGCCUCUCACUAGCUAAUCUCCAACACUACACGUGUAGACCAAAGGGGGAAGAGAGGAGAGGGGAAGUAGAGAGAAAAAGUCAAAUCUACUACCCCUUCUGUGACAUUAAAAAAUAAGGGGUAAGGGUUUGUGUCCUUAGAAGUAGGAGGAUGGAAUUCCACCUUAUCUUUUCCAAAUUACAGAAAGCGUAGGUAGAUAGGUAGGGUUGGGGUUGGGGGAUCUGGGGUACGUUUACCUUCUUGAGGUCUUUCUCAAAUCUGGUUUCAGCUGCAGUUGUGUGCUUACUUUGAUUAUAUUUACAUUUUGAAAACUUUCCAUGUUUAUCAACAAGAUUAAAAUAUGCAUGUAAUUUACAUCUCCAAAUUCGUGUUUAUAUUUUUCACAAUAAAGUUAUUGCUUUCCUUGGAAAGGUACCCACUGAGAAGGAAGGCUGCACAAUGCACAUUUUAAUUACUCUGUAUUUUUUGACGGUUUGUAGCUGUUGUUUCAUGCUGAGUUGCUGAGCUGUUGCUCCGUAUUUACUCCAACUUUGAGGAACCCACCUCAUUUUCCUAUCAUUACAUUUUGAAAUCUGUCAUAACAGUCUCACCUCAUUGAACCUCCAACUAAACUUCAAUUAAGAGCUAGCAACCCCAGCUGAUUCUCCUCUUCUACAGCACUGUCUAGCAUGUGAUUUCCCUAAAUCCUACCAUUUAAAUGUACAUGCCGCACACUGCCAAGAAAUGUACAGAACUAUGCUGUGGGUAAGUGUAGCUCGGGGAAUAGCCAGGAGCAUCCCAUCCCUGAUGGUGGAAGUCCCUAAUUACCAUGCCAAGCACAGAAUAUGGGGAGAAGCAGGGCUUAAGGAAAAAGAGUGUGAUCAAAUCAGUGGGAAAUGGUAUUUCAUUGCAGAGAUGGGCUGCACAAGUCCUCAUUUUUGAAAAUAGUUUAACUCUUUAUCACACACAUUUCAGGUGGAACUUGCAUUCUAAAAUACUACUACUUUCAAAUCACAAUGCCUUUGUUUAUCUUCAAGCACUCAAAAGACCCUCAAGCAUUUAGAAAUUGUGUAUCCCAUGUACACUCUUAAACACUCCUGCAGAAAUAUUUUUAAAUCAAUCUAUUCUUGAUUUAUCACAAACCUGACAUACAAAAAGUUAGGUAUGCUGUCAAUACCACAAAAGCAUUGGUGAGAAUCUGAGCUCAGAUGCAGGGACCAUCAUAAUUCCAUGGGAAGUCCAUCCCUACAACUGUGUCUCCUGCCUUAUCUUUAAGGAUAGGGCCACCUGUGAACAGAGGCAGACAGCCAGUUCUCUCCCAAAUUCAGCCUGUCUCACACCUAACCUGUACCAUCCCCUGUCAGGGGCUUCACUCUGCUCCCAAUCCCCAAGCUAGAAGCCCAGCUGCCUCUGAGCCUCCUCUGAUCCUCCUGUCUCCACCAUCAUCUAUAUAUGUAGAUGAGGAAAAUGCAAAGGAAAAAUACACAAACAGCCAGGGCUUUAACAGAGCAUCAAAAUGAGAUAUGCUAGGAAAAAGGAAGAGAAAUAUAAUUAUUAUAGUUAGAAGUAUUUAAUCCAUCCCUAUUUUUCCUAACAGACAAAGGAUACAAAAGCUCAGCUUCAAUACUCAAUUUUAGGGUCCUUUUAAUGUAUUGUAUCACCAAGGGAAAAUAAGUCAACUGUAUUUAUAUCAGCUUACAGAGUGUUUAUCAUAAAUCCAGAAAAACUGAAACUCACUGUUAUUUUAAAAUCGUUAAUAAUUAUAUUAGUUGACUAUAAACUAAACAGUCAAAUCUCAAUAGCUCUUCUGUGUAGCAGUAAACAAUUUAAAAAUAUUUAAAAAUCCCAUCCAUAAUUUAAGAAAAAUAAAUAAGGAUAACCUCAACAAGAAAUGUUUGAGAUUUGUUUUUAAAACUUCAGAGUUAGCCAGGUGUGAUGGUGUCUGUAGUCUCAGCUACUCUGGAGGCUGAGGCAGGAGAAUCACUUGAACCCGGGAGGUGGAGGUUGCAGUGAGCCAAGAGUGCACCACUGCACUCCAGCCUGGAUGACACAGUGAGACUCCAUCUCAAAAACAAGAACAACAACAACCAAAAAGACCAAACAAAAAAAAGGAAAAUAAAAAACUUCUGCGUUUUACUGAAAGAUACAAAAAAAGACCUGAAAGGGACUGAGCUAGACUUCUCAGAUACCUCCCAAUUCUGGUAUAUGAUAUAAAGCCAAAUCAAUGUACGAAGAGGAGCAAACCACAAACUACAUUAAUUUUAAAAAAAUUAUUGAGGCAAAAUUCAAGUAACAUAAAAUCUACCAUUUUAAAGUAAACAAUUCAGGGGCAUUUCGUACAUUCACAAUGUUGUAAACCAUUAUCACCUCUAUUUGGCUCUGUAAUAUUUCCACUGUUUCAAAGUAAAACCCUGUAACCAAUGCGUAAUUUCUCCCCAUUCCCCAUCAAUACGAGAACUAUUUUUUCUUUUCUUUUUUUUUUUUUUUUUUU
rnacentral:lncRNA from 10 species